rnacentral:rRNA from 1 species
UACGUAGGGGGCGAGCGUUGUCCGGAGUUACUGGGCGUAAAGCGCUUGUAGGCGGUCCACCAAGUUUGGGGUGACAGUUGCCGACUUAAUCGGCAAAGUGCCUCAAAGACUGGCGGACUUGAGGGCCACAGAGGGACAUGGAACUCCAGGUGUAGUGGUGAAAUGCGUAGAUAUCUGGAGGAACACCAAAGGCGAAGGCAGUGUCCUGGGGAGUACCUGACGCUCAGGUGCGAAAGCUAGGGGAGCGAACAGG